rnacentral:rRNA from 1 species
AACGAACGCUGGCGGCGUGCCUAACACAUGCAAGUCGAACGCGAACGGGUCUUCGGACCCUAGUAGAGUGGCGCACGGGUGAGUAACACGUGGGCAAUCUACCCAGGGAUUUGGGAUAACCAGGGGAAACCCUGGCUAAUACCGAAUACGUCCAUGAGGCCUUCGGUCCUCAUGGAGAAAGGUGGCCUCUUCUCGAAAGCUGCCGUUCCUGGAUGAGCCCGCGGACCAUUAGCUUGUUGGUGAGGUAACGGCUCACCAAGGCCAUGAUGGUUAGCUGGUCUGAGAGGAUGAUCAGCCACACUGGGACUGACACACGGCCCAGACUCCUACGGGAGGCAGCAGUGGGGAAUCUUGCGCAAUGGGGGAAACCCUGACGCAGCAACGCCGCGUGGGUGAUGAAGGCCCUUGGGUCGUAAAGCCCUGUCUGGAGGAAAGAAUCCCGCUCUCGCUAAUACCGGGAGUGGAUGACGGUACCUCUGAAGGAAGCACCGGCUAACUCCGUGCCAG